rnacentral:rRNA from 1 species
GACGAACGCUGGCGGCGUGCUUAACACAUGCAAGUCGAACGGUAAGGCCCUUCGGGGUACACGAGUGGCGAACGGGUGAGUAACACGUGGGUGAUCUGCCCUGCACUUCGGGAUAAGCCUGGGAAACUGGGUCUAAUACCGGAUAGGACUCCGGACUGCAUGGUCUGGGGUGGACAGCAUUUGCGGUGUGGGAUGGGCCCGCGGCCUAUCAGCUUGUUGGUGGGGUGAUGGCCUACCAAGGCGACGACGGGUAGCCGGCCUGAGAGGGUGACCGGCCACACUAGGACUGAGAUACGGCCCAGACUCCUACGGGAGGCAGCAGCGGGGAAUAUUGCACAAUGGGCGCAAGCCUGAUGCAGCGACGCCGCGUGAGGGAUGACGGCCUUCGGGUUGUAAACCUCUUUCAGCACAGACGAAGCGCAAGUGACGGUAUGUGCAGAAGAAGGACCGGCCAACUACGUGCCAGCAGCCGCCGCGG